rnacentral:lncRNA from 1 species
GAUUCUAGAAAAUUUGAGCUGAUUCUCGGAUUAGUCUAUUGAUGAUGCUUGAAAAUAAGUAAAAAAUUGUUUUAGCAGAAAAAUAACAGAAAAAAACCAAUUCCUUUGUGGGUAUGAAGAAAAAGUUCACAUAUACAAUAGUCUAUUUCCUGAUCAUUAAAAUAUACUAAAUUCAUUUUUUUGGUUGCUUUUGCAGAUCCAAGAGAUAAUCACUUUCAUGCUUUCAUGCUCUAUUGAUAGAUACAGAUCUUCAUCUUCAUCUUGAAAGAAAAAUUCAGAAAAAUAUCAGCCUCUUCAUGUAUAAAUUAGAAAUAAUUGUUGUAAUAAUCUCUUAGUAUCUCUAUUGUAAAUGUGACUAAUAGUUAGCCAAAAGCAAAAAAUAAAUAAAAGUACUA